AUCCCUGUAGCUCAGUUGGUAGAGCAUGGUGUUUGCAUGGUGUUUGCAACACCAGGGUUGUGGGUUCAAUUCCCACGGGGGGCC
rnacentral:tRNA from 1 species